UGCAGUUUGCUCCGGGGACCGCACAAUAGGUCGUCGAAAUCGGUGCUCGUUUUUGAUUGCCAAAGAAGCCUUUUCAUCAUACACGGUCGUACCAAAUGGUUUUAUCGACAAAAAUCGUACAUGGCAACGACGAAAGUCCCACGUCGUUUUCUUACUUGAGUCAGUUGGCGUAUUCAACUGGGUCAAGAAGGUACUGUGUGUGGGUGGGCUAGACCUGCAAAGUUACACCACAUUUAAUAAAGUAUUACUUGUGACCAGUUUUGGAUGAAUCGAGUGACUUGCCCAAUCCUGGCCAUAACACGGUGUCCAGACGAAAGCAUCUUUUGUGCGUAUCACAAUGUAUUUUGUGGAGGAUAUAUAAAAUUUUGUAGAGAUCUCGAUCAAGGCCUUUCAUCGUCAUUCCGGCAUUAGUUUCGCGCAAUCAAAUUGUUGCCUUCCCGCGGAGCAAAACGCCACUGACGUUAAACCGUCGAGAAGACGUGACGGACCAAAGAUUCGCUUGUCGACGACCUGUGGAGAGAAAUUUCGGUCAUUUUGAUAGCGGGCGAAAAUAAUUUUAUUUAAUUUUUACUUAACCAGUGCACGUGGAAUGGCUAUGUCAAAGUUAAUGACUGAUUAUAGAAAAAUAUGGAAUCCACAAUGCCUUAACUGAUCCGCACAGCAACUGAUAUCAUGGGUUUAUUUUAACUUCGACGUUGUAAAAAAUUAUGAAAUAAUAGUCUACUUACAUUCAAAACGUGUGUGAGAUAUUCUUCAGACAUACUGCUUUCCCCAG